UACAGAGGGUGCAAGCGUUGUUCGGAAUUAUUGGGCGUAAAGCGCGUGUAGGCGGCUUUGCAAGUCGGGCGUGAAAUCCCUCAGCUUAACUGAGGAAGUGCGCCCGAAACUGCCGAGCUUGAGUACCGGAGAGGGUGGCGGAAUUCCCCAAGUAGAGGUGAAAUUCGUAGAUAUGGGGAGGAACACCGGUGGCGAAGGCGGCCCCCUGGACGGAUACUGACGCUGAGACGCGAAAGCGUGGGGAGCAAACAGG
rnacentral:rRNA from 1 species